GCGCCUCAGGGCGCUGAAAGCGCGGGACACCAUCGCCUCCGGUCCUCCCGCCUGCUGGAGCCCCAACUUCAUCACCCCGCGCCCAACACAAGGUACAACCGGCCCGAGGGGAAAGCAGCGCCUUCCCGCCCCGCAAACACACAGCCCGGGAACCACCGGGAUGGAAGCGGCGGCCCCGCGCUGAGGCGCCUUCCGGGGCCGCCCUGUUGAGUGGAACUGGCGGCCAUUUCGGGGCCGGCGGGCGGGCAGCCCCCCCACCGCCCUCACGCACACCCUCCCCGCGGCCAUCGGCGGCCGCGCCCGCCCCGCGUUACCGAGCUGCUGCCGGGCCGCCAUGGCGCCGUCGGAAUACUCACUGGAAUUUCAUCUGUGGAAAAUCCUCUCACGGAGCUUACACAGGGGCAGAGACAAAACACUUGUUUACCAAGUCUGAGUGGCCUGUACCUGCAAUAGAGAUGUUCUGAGAGUGCCCAGAAGACACAGUGCAGCUCCUGCCCCUCAUCACAGGAACAGGACUGAAGAGGUGUGAUAAGAGUGUGGAGCAUUAAUGGAGCGGGAUGCUCAGUGCCAGAGGGGAGGAGGGAUACUUUGAUCAGUCACCAGGAUAAAAGCUGAGCUGCUUUACAACACAGCCUGCUGGAAAGUAGUUGUUAGAAAAACGUGUCUAUUAAAAGGUCAGGCGUGGUCCUGUGUUCUGGACUGACACUUGCACAAGCUGGUAAAUUAUACAUAAUGAACACCUUAUUAGGUUAAUUUUGUCUAUUUGGGGUCAUCAUGAGCAGCCCAUUAGAAAAUAACAGGUUUCUCAGAGGCUGCCAAAUGCUGGUUGUUACUAUUUCUGCAAAUAGUACUGAAUGUGGAA